AACAGUCAAUCAUAUUGACCAUUACAUUAUUCUUUGUGACUUGGGAGAAUACUCCUGUUACCUCAAGUGCUCUAUCUGCUGAGAAUUAGGAACCAUUUCUAUGUAAUAAAGAACUAUCGAUCACCGGGAAGUAUACUCUUCCUUCUUGUGGAAGAAAACUUAUGACAUUGAACUUGAUAAGAGCCAUUAUUUUCACAAGCUCAAAUGAAACAUGUCUUCUUUGUCUCCCCUCCCACCUCUGCAGGUUCAAGUAUGCAGAGUAGACCAAAUCGGAAAGAAGGCAUCACUUUAGACUGAAACAAAUCAGGGCUAACCAGAAAAGACCUUUUAGGCCAACGACCACUUGAGAUGUCCCUGAUUCCUCCGUGUUUCACUCACUGGCUCCUGGCUCCUGGAAUCUGUUGGACCUGUAUUUGCAUUCAUCAUUUCUCAGGAGGGAAAUGAUUCUAGUGACCUCACUGUGGGGAGACAGGAGUUUCUGGAGUGACAGCAGAUCUCUGGAUAGUGGCCUUCAUAUUGUGAAUGAGAUUGCAGAGGUCCAUCUCCUACCUUAUGACAUCAGAAAGAGCAGUUCUAUUCUUCACAUUCAGGGCAUGGAAGCCAGAAAUUGCGCAUUUAUGAACCUACUCACAGAGAAACAAUUCUUGCUGAAGGAGCUUGGAUUAGUUUGUUGACAUUUACCACAAAAACCUUUGCAUUUACUCAUAUCCAAGAAACAAAACCAAAUCAAAACCAACCCCCUACAGUGCCCUGGAUUCAGGAAGAAGUGGUCAUAUCUUCCUAAUCAAGAGUCAAUGAAGAUAGUGCGUUUCAGGUCUACUAUAUCCUUCUUCUUCUCUGUAUAUUCAUUUUAUUAAUUUUGGGGAGUUUGAUAUUGAAACUCCAGCUAAAAAUCUUGAUGUAGCUACUUAAAAAAUAAUUGUAAUAUAUAGUGGAGUUUCCCUGAUAGCUCAGUUGGUAAAGAAUCCUCCUGCAAUGCAGGAGACCCCAGUUCUAUUCCUGAAUUGGGAAGAUCCGCUGGAGACCGAAUAGGCUACCCACUCCAGUAUUCUUGGGCUUCCCUUGCGGCUCAGCUGGUAAAGAAUCCACCUGCAAUGCAGGAGACCUAAGUUUGAUCUCCGGUUUGGGAAGAUCCCCUGAAGAAGGGAAAGACUGCUGCUGCUGCUAAGUCGCUUCAGUCAUGUCCGACUCUGUGCGACCCCAUACAGCCCACCAGGCCCCCCCGUCCCUGGGACUCUCCAGGCAAGAACACUGGAGUGGGUUGCCAUUUCCUUCUCCAGUGCAGGAAAGUGAAAAGUGAAAGGGAAGUCGCUCAGUCGUGUCCGAUUCUUUGCGACCGUAUGGACUGCAGCCCACCAGUCUCCUCC
rnacentral:lncRNA from 1 species